rnacentral:tRNA from 1 species
UGCUGAUUUAGCUCAGUUGGUAGAGCAACGGUAUCGUAAACCGUGGGUCACAGGUUCGACUCCUGCAAUCAGCAU